rnacentral:rRNA from 1 species
AUGGAGGAUGACCAUGCGCAGGAUAAGACGUGCCAGGAGGCGGCUUUUGGGGAUUCAAAUCCCGCCUUCCCAUCCACAGCCGUUUCGGUGCGGGUCGCCAGCGCCCAAUCCGCUGCCGUGGAGGAGGCCCCACUGGAUCCGCUGCCAGACAAAACCGCACAGGGAUUGCCAUCGGUCUUGGAAGAGCUGCAGCUAGCGACAACGGAGAGGAUUGACAAGCCUUCAGCUGAUUUGGUGGAUCCGGGUCCCAGUAUACAGGAGGCUGGUGCUGGUUUUGAGAGGGCCAAUGUGACCGCGCCACAUGCAUGCAUGCAAGAGGCGUUGCAUGGUGGCAAUGAUAUUGAUGCUGGUGCAAUUACUGUACAGCGCCGUGAGGAUAAUCUAUCUGUGAAAGAAAUUGCAGCGCUUGGGAACAUCAAGGCGUUUUGCGCUGGAUUGCUUAAAAAACUUGCACCGCCGCUUCUCAAGGAGUUUGAAGGUCUGCGAGGGGUCAAACCAGGACAUGACCCGUUCACCCCAUGCUGCACAACUCGGUACGUCUGUGCAAGUAGCUCUAGGAAGACAAAGGCCUCGGCAGCUGAAACGGUGCUGCUUAGAACCUUGAGUCUGGAUUGUGAUGAUCUGGCAGUCUCGGAAGAUGCACUAAGUCAGCUCCGUACAGUCUUCGACUCACCACUCCAGGCAGUGGCGGAGGUAGGGGAUGGACAGGGUGGGCCAUGGCCCACCCUAAGAUAUGGAAAUAGCCUCUAUAGUACUGUAGCAUAA